GGAUGAGUGGUCCAAAUGGUAAGAUACAUCCCAUAUUCAUUGGCUGUGAUGGUGGUUCAAGUCCGCUCUCAUCCA